UCGGAUCGUCGCAUCCUGGGGCUGUAGUAGGUCCCAAGGGUUGGGCUGUUCGCCCAUUAAAGCGGUACGCGAUCUGGGUUCAGAACGUCGUGAGACAGUUCGGUCCCUAUCCGCCGUGGGCGUUAGAGAUUUGAGGAGUGUCGACCCUAGUACGAGAGGACCGGGUUGAACGAACCUCUGGUGAACCGGUUGUCCCGCCAGGGGCAUAGCCGGGUAGCUAUGUUCGGACCAGAUAAGUGCUGAAAGCAUAUAAGCACGAAACUGACUUCAAGAUGAGAUCUCGAACUCGUAAGAGUGAAGGGUCCUGGGAGACUACCAGGUUGAUAGGCCGGGGGUGGAAGCACUGCAAGGUGUGGAGCUGACCGGUACUAAUAGCCCAGAAAUUUUUGAUUC
rnacentral:rRNA from 1 species